GUGUUGGUGGUUCAGCAGUAGAACUCUCACCUUCCAUAUGGGAGACCUGGGUUUGAUUCCUGGCCAAUGCA
rnacentral:tRNA from 1 species